rnacentral:rRNA from 1 species
GCCCUUGCCGCCCGGUCCGCCUAUUUGGGCGUGUACUGGAGCGGUGGAGGCUUACCUCGUGGUGAACGGCCAUGCUCUUUACUGGGUGUGGUCGAGAACCAUGACUUUUACUUUGAAAAAAUUAGAGUGUUUAAAGCAGGCUUACGCUUGAAUACAUUAGCAUGGAAUAAUAGAAUAGGA